rnacentral:rRNA from 1 species
GACGAACGCUGGCGGUGUGCUUAACACAUGCAAGUCGAACGGUAAGGCCCUUUCGGGGGUACACGAGUGGCGAACGGGUGAGUAACACGUGAGUAACCUGCCCUCAUCUCUGGGAUAACAGUCGGAAACGGUUGCUAAUACUGGAUAUGAGCUUGCAAGGCAUCUUGUGGGUUGGAAAGAUUUUUUUUGGUUGGGGAUGGACUCGCGGCCUAUCAGCUUGUUGGUGAGGUAGUGGCUCACCAAGGCUUCGACGAGUAGCCGGCCUGAGAGGGCGACCGGCCACAUUGGGACUGAGAUACGGCCCAAACUCCUACGGGAGGCAGCAGUGGGGAAUAUUGCACAAUGGACGGAAGUCUGAUGCAGCAACGCCGCGUGCGGGAUGACGGCCUUCGGGUUGUAAACCGCUUUCAAUUGUGACGAAGCUUUUUUGUGACGGUAGCAGUAGAAGAAGCACCGGCUAACUACGUG